CUUUGUCUGUGUGCGCCUUUCUCUCGCUCCCUCUCUCGCUCUCCCUGGCUCUCGCACUCUCGCUCGCUCUCGCUCGCUCUCUCUCGCUCGCUCUCCCUUUCCCGUCUCUGUGGUUUGUAAGGGAGACAGCGACUAUGAGGAGACAAACUGAGGACUGGGGAACAAGCAGCAUAAGAAAGAAGUGUUGAGAGCUGCUCUUAACCCUUUUGGAGGCCGAAGUCAAAAGGGAACUAGAGGGCUUGACGCAUCCUUUACAUCCUGCAUUUACUCUGACCACAGUCCCUCCCUGUUCUCACAAGUGGAGCUCAGCUCUGCUUCCCUUCCUGUUGAUUCCCAGUCAGCUACAUGAC
rnacentral:lncRNA from 1 species